CACCUCAAUAUCAAGCAAUUCUAUACUAAUAUAGAAAUUUUUAUGUUAAAACUAGUAACAAGAAGACUCCCUUCUCUUUAAUGCCAGCGUAAAUCAGUUAGGAAAAACCACUGAUAAUUAACAUUCCUGAGCUAAUAGUAGAAACACCUCAAGAAAACCCUACUGCUACCCAUGUUAACCUAACACAAGAGCAUUACAAGAAAGAUUAAAAGAAAAAGAAGGAACUCGGCAAAUAUUAACCCCGCCUGUUUACCAAAAACAUCGCCUCUUGAAACCUAUAAGAGGUCCAGCCUGCCCAGUGACUUUGUUCAACGGCCGCGGUAUCCUAACCGUGCRAAGGUAGCGUAAUCACUUGUUCUUUAAAUGAGGACUAGUAUGAAUGGCACCACGAAGGUUAUACUGUCUCCUUUUUCUAAUCAGUGAAACUAAUCUUCCCGUGAAGAAGCGGGAAUAAACAUAUAAGACGAGAAGACCCUAUGGAGCUUUAAACAAACAUACAAUUGCCUUCAACAAAAAAAAUUCCAGAAGAAAAACCUUUAUUUAGGCAUCCUGUCAUGACGUUUUAGGUUGGGGUGACCACGGAGUAAAAUUUAACCUCCGCAAUGAACGGGGCUUUCCCCCUAAGAUAAGAGCUACGACUCUAAUAAUCAACAAAUUGACACCAAUUGACCCAAUACACUUGAUCAAUGAACCAAGUUACCCUAGGGAUAACAGCGCAAUCCACUUCAAGAGCCCCUAUCGACAAGUGGGUUUACGACCUCGAUGUUGGAUCAGGGUAUCCUAGUGGUGCAGCCGCUACUGAUGGUUCGUUUGUUCAACGAUUAAAACCCUACGUGAUCUGAGUUCAUACCGGCUAUA
rnacentral:rRNA from 1 species